AGGGAUAUGGCUCAGGGGUAGAGCACUUGUUUGGCAUGCAUGAAGCCCUGGGUUUGAUCCCUUGUACCACAA
rnacentral:tRNA from 1 species